rnacentral:rRNA from 1 species
UACGUAGGGGGCCAGCGUUGUUCGGAAUUACUGGGCGUAAAGGGCUCGUAGGCGGCCAACUAAGUCAGACGUGAAAUCCCUCGGCUUAACCGGGGAACUGCGUCUGAUACUGGAUGGCUUGAGUUCGGGAGAGGGAUGCGGAAUUCCAGGUGUAGCGGUGAAAUGCGUAGAUAUCUGGAGGAACACCGGUGGCGAAGGCGGCAUCCUGGACCGACACUGACGCUGAUGAGCGAAAGCCAGGGGAGCAAACGGG